UAAACACUCUCCUUUUCCAGCUAUCGUUUCUUGUCACACGUAGACCUCUGCCCCAAACACGCAGGUAUCAUCGACCAGAUACCCGUUGGCUGCCGCAUCCUUGAAGGCAUCAAGAGGUGUCAUUGUUCUGAUCAAGCAGAAAGAGACGAAAAAGUGCUCGGAUCUCCCAAGCUGGGCCGGGUGAGUUUGGCUCGACAAUGACCAAGUAUAGGGAGAUGUGGUCGGUAAUGCCUUUGUUUUUGUUGCCAUUAGGGUGAAGAAUGAGCUUCCUGCAUGCAGAGGAAACGAACGUAUAUAGAUGAUGAUGGGAUUCAGAGUUAUAGUUAUGUGAGAAACUACCAUUUGCAGCCGCCGGCUUGGAAUUCGUUGGAGGUGUAGCUCUCUAGCUUACUGUUAACAAGCUGUGAGAAUAGUUGCAGUUUGAAUAUGUAGUGAGUCGGAGGCGUUUCCGAAAUUGAUCUCGACACCCCUAUUGGAAAUAAAGACUAGUAGUGUUAAGAGUAAAGUCAAGAAUAGAGAUAUAGUAGCCGAAUUUAGGAAGAGACCUUGUUGUCCAGGGAAUGAUAGUUCUCCCAUCAGGUAUGUAGAGAGAGAGAGAGAGAGAGAGAUGGUUGUGAUGGAAGGAUGGUGAGGUUCUUAUAUGAGAGAAAAGGCAGUAGAAAAGCUAUCCUUUGCCUUGGUUU